CAUAGCGACUAUCGUGGCAUAUCAAUAAGCGGAGGAAAAGAAACUAACAAGGAUUCCCUUAGUAACGGCGAGUGAAGCGGGAAGAGCUCAAAUUUGAAAUCUUCAAGGUUUUACCUUGACGAAUUGUAGUUUAAAGAAGUGUUUUCUGUUGGAGUUUUGGUAAAAGUUCUUUGGAAUAGGACAUCAUAGAGGGUGAGAAUCCCGUAUUUGACCAUUAUUUUCAGCUGUGUGAUACACUUUCAAAGAGUCGGAUUGUUUGGGAAUGCAGUCCAAAAUGGGUGGUAAAUUUCAUCUAAAGCUAAAUAUUGGCGAGAGACCGAUAGCGAACAAGUACCGUGAGGGAAAGAUGAAAAGAACUUUGAAAAGAGAGUUAAACAGUACGUGAAAUUGUCAAAAGGGAAGCGUUUGACACCAGUGUUGUUUUCUCGAAAAUCAAUUAAAAAUGCCUGGAUUUUGUGUUGUAUUGACCUUAUAAGCUUUCUGCACUCUUUUCUUAUCUUUUUUAAUGCACUUUUCGUUUAACAAGUCAACAUCAAUUUCUUUUGUUGUAAAAGAGUCAUUGGAAGGUGGCUUUCUUUACGGAGAAAAGUGUUUAUAGCCUUUUAUCUCUGCAGCCGGAGAGACUGAGGUCUGCAGCGUAGACUCUUCGGGGUUAGAUACAUUUGUGCUAAGCUAUAGCUUUGUAUAGACAACUUGUUGACUAUGAUUAGUCAUUGUAGCUUACUCGCUUAUGCUAUUUUACCUACGCUUAGGAUGUUGAUAUGCAUGACUGAUAU
rnacentral:rRNA from 1 species